rnacentral:rRNA from 1 species
GACAGAGGUGCCGAGCGUUUAGGCGGAAUCACUGGGCUUAAAGCGUGUGUAGGCGGGUCGUUAAGUGCCUUGUGAAAUCCCAUGGCUCACCCAUGGAACUGCUUGGCAUACUGGCGAUCUUGAGCCACUUUAGGGGCAACCGGAACAAACGGUGGAGCGGUGAAAUGCGUAGAUAUCGUUUGGAACGCCAAUGGUGAAAACAGGUUGCUGGGAGUGCGCUGACGCUGAGACACGAAAGCCAGGGGAGCAAACGGG